GGAAGUUGAAAAGAAUUUCAAAGUAAAGACUAUGUUUUACUCCGAAACUGGGGGGCAUGUGUUGACGCCAGAUUUCGGCACAAGUAAAAUCGGCGUCAGGAGAAGAAGAAAUGAGAAGAUACAGCAGGAUGCAGGGGUGACAGUUGGAAAUCGGCCGAGUGGCGCUACAGUUAAAGAUCGGUUGGUUGGUGCUACAGUCCAGGAUCGGCCGAUGCUACAGUCCAGGAUCGGCCGAUAAAUCUUUAGAAUUCCGCCUCACUUAACCCUUGGGGUUUGGGAUCGGACACGCUUGGUUCCCGAUCGGUUACCCUUUGCCGAUAAGGAAAUCGGCUGAUUAGGAGGUUGGAAUAGUUGGGCCGGUAUGGGCUUAGAAAGGAUUAUAAGGGAAUCAGCCCAUGAGGCGCAUAAUAAUCUACCUAGUACGAAUUGUACUUGUAAAUAUUCAUUUUCUAUUUGAAUUAGGGAUAGAGUUCUAGUCAGAUAAGGAGUCGUCUGUACGGGGCUAUAAAUAGCCACCUUUGUAGAUCUGUAAUCAUCAACAACUCAAUACAACAAACUACUAUUUCCUCGUACUUACUUUCAAGCAGGGGAC
rnacentral:lncRNA from 1 species